CUGCGGAAGGAUCAUUACCUAGAGUUGUAGGCUUUGCCUGCUAUCUCUUACCCAUGUCUUUUGAGUACCUUACGUUUCCUCGGCGGGUCCGCCCGCCGAUUGGACAAACUUAAACCAUUUGCAGUUGCAAUCAGCGUCUGAAAAAAAACUUAAUAGUUACAACUUUCAACAACGGAUCUCUUGGUUCUGGCAUCGAUGAAGAACGCAGCGAAAUGCGAUAAGUAGUGUGAAUUGCAGAAUUCAGUGAAUCAUCGAAUCUUUGAACGCACAUUGCGCCCCUUGGUAUUCCAUGGGGCAUGCCUGUUCGAGCGUCAUUUGUACCUUCAAGCUCUGCUUGGUGUUGGGUGUUUGUCUCGCCUCUGCGUGUAGACUCGCCUCAAAACAAUUGGCAGCCGGCGUAUUGAUUUCGGAGCGCAGUACAUCUCGCGCUUUGCACUCAUAACGACGAGCGUCCAAAAGUACAUUUUUUACACUCUUGACCUCGGAUCAGGUAGGGAUACCCGCUGAACUUAAGCAUAUC
rnacentral:rRNA from 1 species